UGGGGAAUAUUGGACAAUGGGCGCAAGCCUGAUCCAGCCAUGCCGCGUGAGUGAUGAAGGCACUAGGGUUGUAAAGCUCUUUCACCGGUGAAGAUAAUGACGGUAACCGGAGAAGAAGCCCCGGCUAACUUCGUGCCAGCAGCCGCGGUAAUACGAAGGGGGCUAGCGUUGUUCGGAUUUACUGGGCGUAAAGCGCACGUAGGCGGACUUUUAAGUCAGGGGUGAAAUCCCGGGGCUCAACCCCGGAACUGCCUUUGAUACUGGAAGUCUUGAGUAUGGUAGAGGUGAGUGGAAUUCCGAGUGUAGAGGUGAAAUUCGUAGAUAUUCGGAGGAACACCAGUGGCGAAGGCGGCUCACUGGACCAUUACUGACGCUGAGGUGCGAAAGCGUGGGGAGCAAACAGG
rnacentral:rRNA from 2 species